GUCACUUCCUUUGAGACUAAUUCAGAUUCUUUCCUUAGCUUCUAUUUCCCCAUUUGUAAAAUUGGGAUGAUGAGGACAUCUUCCUUGGGUAGCUGUGACAAUGAAAAUGGGAUCAUCAUGCAUCAGCCUUAGCCCCACGAGUGCCACAGUAAACUCUCAAAGAAUGAAGUGGGGUUUAGACCCUAAAUGCUUCAGUGUGAGCUGUGAAGCCCCACAGCUUGGCUGGAUCAAUCUGGACUUCGGGCAGAUGCGCACUAAGGGCUGCUUACCUAGAGGAGCCACGUUUCUCCUGGGCAGUCAAGAUAACUGCCAGAGGAGCCACAUGCUGGGUAAAUCCUGAACCCAAAGUGGAAUUUUGCCCUAGUAUAAUGGGUUCAUAUUCGAUUGGCUGCACUUAGCUAUAAAUCCUGAGGAGGAGAAGAAGAAAGACAUCAGAAAGUAAUUGGACUAGAAGAACCUUAGUUUGGAAGCAAAACACAGAAUCCAGAAACUAUGAAGAAAUUUACAUGCACACAUAUGUAUACAAGCCAUGAGAGGGAAAUGGGAAUGUACCUGAGAGUGUCGUCAAAGCGUACAGUGGCUGCACAGUGAAAUAUUAUGUUUGUACAGGAGAGAAGCUCCUGCAUGUCCUCUUUGCUGAUGGCAAAGUCAUUCUGAUUGAGAUCUGCAUAAAUAGCUCUGAUCUUCUCAUGCACAUUUGGACAAACUUCUUUGACUUUCUCAAAUAGCUGAAACAUAAAUAUAGAUCAAUAUACAAAAAAUAGCACCAUCAUUAUCACAUUGUUCUUGUUUAUAACAACCUGCUUAAUUAUACUCAAAAACUGGUUUUAGUUGUAAUAACAUUACUUAAAGAAGACAUCUGGCUGGGCAUGGUGGCAUAUGCCUGUAAUCUCAGCACUUUGGGAAGCCAAAGCAGGGAGAUCACUUGAGCCCAGGAGUUCGACACCAGCCUGCGCAACAUGAAAUUUACUUAGGGUUCUGUGGACUCUUUCACUUUGGCCUGUGAAGACUUCUGACUACUGGAAAGCAAGAAGUAGGAGAUGGUUUCAGCAUCCACCCUUCUCACGAUGGGGUUCCUUACAUAUGAUAAUCUGAUGCCUACCAGAAGAAACUCUGACCCAGACAGGAUCAUUGCAUAAGAGGUUGGUUUUAGAAGUAGAGUUGGCUGAAAUUAAAGUCUCGAGUGACAUGAAGACAGUGUUAAAGAUAAAUCCAAACUCUUCUUUAUUGCUUGACACUUUUCCAAUCAGCAUUGACUUCAUUCCUGGCAAGCUGAUGUAACAUGAAUGAGUUAUGAAGCCAAAGAUCGCAAGAAGAGCACACUUCUUAACAGCCACUUCAGAGGUGACAGCCAGGGAAUAAGAAAUAAGGAAGAACUUUCCAGAGGAUGGAGCCACCACAAAUAAUAAUGGAAAAGAAGGUUCCUCCCAGAGAUUAGAUUUAGAGGCUAUUUAAGGAAUUUCCCCACUCCCAGUGUAGGAAGCUUCUCAAUACUCGCUAAUCAGGAUUUCCUUAUGGUUAUAUUCUAGGGACUGCUGCUUGCCUGCCUGUCUUCUCUUUUUUGAAUAGAAGGUGUCUUUGUUUGUUUGAUUUUAUUUUUUCUUCAACUUCGCUGUUCUACAAUGACAAGAGAUAGAACAGAGACAUUUUCUACCUCAACAUUGGGAGGCAGAAAAUUCACCUUUUUAUCCAAGAAUACCAAACCAGAAGCUGAAAUAUCUGGAUCUGAUAGAGAGGAUAGUCUAUUCCCCCUUGGACUUUGGACUGGAUGCAAUAAUGGUAUGAGACCCUGGGGUAGGAAUGAGUGUCUUCUAUGUGUGGGAAAGAGAGGAAAGCAGAUAUUUGGCGACCUAAAAAGAAGGCCAUGGCAGAACCUCAUUAGUUGUUCAACAAUCCUAUUUUCCUUUUCUCCUGGACACACAGCUAUGCAUUUUCCAGCCAUCCUUGUGGUUAGAUGCCCAGUGACAGUUCUGAGAAUGGAAUAUGGACAGAUGUGAUAGGCACUUCUGGGCCUGGGCCACAAAAACCUUCCACAUGAUGUCCAGUGCCUCUUUUACCCCACUGACAGUUUUUUAUUGUCAUCCAGAGAGACCUUGGAUGGUUUAGAAGCCAUGUGUAGAAGAUGGCAACCUUCCCUUAGCAUGGAUCCUUGAAUGACUGUGGAGUGCAAUGCCUUCUACCAAUUACACCUACUGUGUUUGAGAAUCAAAUUUCAUUUGUAUUAAGCUACUGAUUUGGGGGGUUUAUCUCCUUCAGCACCCACAUUAGUACAACUCAUGCAGAAUGGAGAGUUAAUGUGAACACAUAUGGCACAGACUGGUGAAACCUAGGACUUUAAGAUGAUAGAUGAAUUUCUGAUUAUACUUUCCUUUCCCGCAAAAAGUUUUUUUCAAAUUAAAUGUUGUAAUAUAAAUGUGAAUUCUUAAAUAUCUUUCUAAUGAAAUGAUGACUAACUAUAGAAAAGAGAAUGCAGGAAUAUAUACAUCCUUGAUAAGAGUGUGAAACUGUUACAGGCAAUCUAGAGGGUCUUGCCUAGGGAUAACGAACAAAAUAACAUACCUGGGUAAAAGAAAUGAGAGGUUACUGAUAAAAAACUAACAUUUAGCCGGGAGUAGUGGCUCAUGCCUGUAAUCCCAAUACUUUGGGAGGCCGAGGCAGGCAGAUCGCCUGAGGUCAGGAGUUUGAGACAAGCCUGGCCAACAUGGUGAAACCCCAUCUCUAUCAGAAAUACAAAAAUUAGCUAGGCAUGGUGGCGGGUGCCUGUAAUCCCAGCUACUUGGGAGGCUGAGGCAGGAGAAUCACUUGAACCCGGGUGGUGGAGG
rnacentral:lncRNA from 1 species